GAUGAACGCUAGCGGCAGGCCUAACACAUGCAAGUCGGGGGGCAGCACGAUUGAGCUUGCUUAAUUGGUGGCGACCGGCGCACGGGUGCGUAACGCGUAUGCAACCUACCUUAUACUGGGGUAUAGCCCGAAGAAAUUCGGAUUAAUCCCCCAUAGCAUUAUCGAUUCGCAUGUUUUGAUAAUUAAAGGUUACGGUAUAA
rnacentral:rRNA from 1 species